CAAGGACCAACAGGGUUUCAUGGUAAUCAUUAAGAGAAUGAGCUGCUGCAAAAGUUUUCUGGUUGGGGCCUAACAAGCGGACCAGGACAGGCCUUUCUGCAACAUCUGGUGCCGUAAUUGGACAGCCGACUGUGACCCCCCGUUGGAUCAAAACAGGCCUUCCUUUUUUUGCUGUCCCUGCUAACAGAAUCCAGACCCUGGACUCGCACUACAAUUUCCAGCGCUGUGAGAACGGCCGGCUACGCUAACGACGCGGCCGGCGUGGGGGUCAGUGCUAGAAUAAUGACCUCGGCAGCCUCACACUUUGUCCAAUUAAACUGCAGAACACUUCAAAAGGUCAGACCUUCAUCCCAGCAAGGAACACUGGAGAGGGAAGAAAAGCAUAGAGGAACUGAAGAACCCCUCUUUAAUAGUUUAGGACUGUGCAGGGCGUAUUUAGGUUUCUAAUAAUGGGGCAAUGGCGUGUGUGGCUGGUGUGUGUAUAAAGGUUUUUUUAUAGGGGGCAUAAAGAGGGUAAUAGGGCUUUGAGGGUUGGAAUUUGUCAGUAGUAAGGUCUAGUCUAAUGACAGUCUCUCUUAACUCUAUAGGAAUUCCUUGUAUAACUUCAGUCUGUCAGGAUUAACAAUUCUGCCGCAGGAUAUUUGAGAAGUUUCACAAGCGGGAACUUGAGAGGCU
ensembl:lncRNA